rnacentral:rRNA from 1 species
AUUGAACGCUGGCGGCAGGCCUAACACAUGCAAGUCGAACGCGUGGCGGACGUGUGAGUAAUGUCUGGGAACCUGCCUGAUGGCGGGGGAUAACUACUGGAAACGGUAGCUAAUACCGCAUACCAUCGGAUGUGCCCUGAUGGGAUUCGCUAGUAGGUGGGGUAAAGGCUAACCUAGGCGACGAUCCCUAUUGGGUCUGAGAGGAUGACCAGCCAAACUGGAACGGAGACACGGUCCAGACGCCUACGGGAGGCAGCAGUGGGGAAUCUUGCACAAUGGGCGAAAGCCUGAUGCAGCCAGGCCGCGUGUAUGAAGAAGGCCUUCGGGUUGUAAAGUACUUUCAGCGGGGAGGCGGUACCCGCAGAAGAAGCACCGGCUAACUACGUGCCAGCAGCCGCGGUAAUAC